UUAAGAUACAACCGAUUGAGUAGGUAAUUGAUUUGACGCUAUAUUGCUUAAACCCAACCAAACACUAAAUUGUACAUUUCCAAACAAAAAUUUUAUUAUAUCGAUUGCCACCAGGAAAAGUCAGAAUCAAUUCUACGAUCCGCUAGCGAUGUCAAAUUGAGUUUGCUUGCAAUGGCAGUAUAAUCAUGAGGAACAUGUUGAAUAUUCGAUAUAAAUCCAGCAUACGGUAAAAAUGUCUGUUGCACUCUUUCAAUUUGAAAAAGAUAAAGAAUGAGCUCUCCGAACAAUAGCACCAUAUUCAAGAAUUGGCAGGACCAAUGAAGAAUAUAAAAUUUUCAAAGAAAAAUUAAGUUUUAAAUUAGAAGGUAGUCUAAAAUUCGAGUACCUUAAACGCUUUACACACUAUUUUGAUGUGUCUAAUGUGCUAUUAAAUUUAAAACCAAGAUCUAAUACAAAAUCGUAAUAAAAUAUUUAAAUACAUUAGAGAUAA